rnacentral:rRNA from 1 species
UACGUAGGGUGCGAGCGUUAAUCGGAAUUACUGGGCGUAAAGUGUGCGCAGGUGGCUGAGCAAGUCGAGUGUGAAAGCCCCGGGCUUAACCUGGGAAUUGCGCUCGAAACUACUUGGCUGGAGUGUGGCAGAGGGAGGUGGAAUUCCACGUGUAGCGGUGAAAUGCGUAGAGAUGUGGAGGAACACCAAUGGCGAAGGCAGCCUCCUGGGCCAACACUGACACUCAUGCACGAAAGCGUGGGGAGCAAACAGG